GAUGAACGCUGGCGGCGUGCUUAACACAUGCAAGUCGAACGGAGAGCUCAUGACAGAGGAUUCGUCCAAUGAAUUGAGUUUCUUAGUGGCGGACGGGUGAGUAACGCGUGAGGAACCUGCCUCGGAGUGGGGAAUAACAGUCCGAAAGGACUGCUAAUACCGCAUAAUGCAGCUGAGUCGCAUGACUCUGGCUGCCAAAGAUUUAUCGCUCUGAGAUGGCCUCGCGUCUGAUUAGCUAGUUGGCGGGGUAACGGCCCACCAAGGCGACGAUCAGUAGCCGGACUGAGAGGUUGGCCGGCCACAUUGGGACUGAGACACGGCCCAG
rnacentral:rRNA from 1 species